rnacentral:rRNA from 1 species
UACGGGGGGGGCAAGCGUUGUUCGGAAUUACUGGGCGUAAAGGGUUCGUAGGUGGCUCGCUAAGUCACACGUGAAAUCCCUCAGCUUAACUGGGGAACUGCGUGUGAGACUGGCAAGCUCGAGUGCAGGAGAGGAAUGCGGAAUUCCAGGUGUAGCGGUGAAAUGCGUAGAUAUCUGGAGGAACACCGGUGGCGAAGGCGGCAUUCUGGACUGCAACUGACACUGAGGAACGAAAGCCAGGGGAGCAAAACGGG